UGAAUAUAGUCGCCCCCGAAAGCAUUUCUCAUUUCCAUAUAUCCUGUUUCACAUCUCUCUCUGUAUUAUACAUAAUAACAGGUGGCAGGUUUAAAGAACUCUUAACCGUGAUCCAAUGAAUGUGCUGCUGGUGCCUUAUGUUUGUACUUUUGGUUGGAAUGACAAUGAACGACAUUUCUUGUCGUCUCUCUUGACCUACAGUUAACAGAUGCAGGUACGUUUCUCCCCUUCUCUUGCUUGUUUUGUCAUUCAACAUUAGGGAUGUACUUUUGUGAUUUGCAUGGUAAUCAAAGGCUGGGAAAUAAAUGUUGCGCUCUAAAGAAGGGAAUAAUCUUGCAUGUUGAAUUUGUUUUAGAACGGACACAAAUCGUAGUUUUUUCACCUCGAUGUUGUCAUACCUAUCAUUCCUCAACUACCUCUCUCUUUCCUCAUCCUUCAAAGGAACAAGGAGAAACAGACAAACACUUGGAUUACCCAGAAGAAGCACCAGAUCUCAGUAAGCCUGAAGUUUGUGAAGGGGUUGAGCUGAGCAGUGAGUCCUCUGCCCUUGUAAAGUGUCAGCAGUGUUUGUUCUAUGUGGAUUCUAAACUCAAGGAGCUUGGUCGAUCAAAUGCCAGCCACAACCAAUGCUCCCUCCAAGUAAAGGGGUCAGAGCUGCCUGGGUGGAAGCCCAGAGGGCUGUGGUCAAAGGUCACCGUCCAGUGUCAUUAUGAAGAAGAGAAGAAGAAAAGGCAAUACCAUGACAUAAUUAUGUUUUUAUGUAGCUGCCUCACACUUUUCCUCCACUUUGCCACCAUAGUGCUUUUUUGGUUUUCUGUGCAUAAACAGUACAGUGGGCUGGCACACAACAUAUAAGCAUGUUAUAAAUGAGUAACCGUUGGAAUUGUGGUUUAUUGAAAGGAUUUGAUGAUUUGAUGUUUCCUUUCAAAUAGUCAUUUGUCCUCAUCCCUUUGUUACAAUAACAGGAAGGUGAAGAUGAUUUGUGCUAUGCCACCUUGUCCCAUGCUGGUGCUCCUCCAUCCUACUCAGUCAAGUUUGAACAAGGCCAUGACUAUGCCACAGUGGUCAUAUACUGACCAGCAUUGCCGAACUGAAUGGACAUGAAAGGACUUCCAAAUGGAUAGAUUGCUUGACUUUAACACCUACAUUUCAAUUUUCUUUCCAAGAAAUCAUUUGCAUAAAUCUAUUUGCAAUGUAGUUUUGAUUAUCCAAUUUGUCACAUUAAGAGAACAAUAAAGUUUUUGUAUUCCAC
ensembl:lncRNA